CGCAAUGGGCGAAAGUCUGACGGAGCGACGCCGCGUGGAGGAUGAAGUACUUUGGUACGUAAACUCCUUUUGCCAGGGAAAAAGUUAUUGGUUGUUCCUGGAGAAUAAGAGGGUUCUUAACUUGUGCCCGCCGCAGCGGUAAUUCGAGUGCCUCCAGCGUUUUUCGGAAUUUUUGGGGGUAAAGGGGGGGUAGGGGGGGAUGUUUGUUUCUUGUUAAAAUUUCCGGCUCAACCGGAAUCAUGCGAGGGAAACGGCAUUACUUCGAGGAAGGAAGGGGUCUCUGGAACUCAUGGUGUAGCGGUGAAAUGCGUUGAUAUCAUGGGGAACACCAAAAGCGAAGGCAAGAGACUGGUCCGCUCCUGACACUGAAGCACGAAAGCGU
rnacentral:rRNA from 1 species